CCUACGGGAUGCAGCAGUGGGGGAUAUUGCACAAUGGGGGGAACCCUGAUGCAGCCAAGCCGCGUGAGGGAAGAAGGUACAGCGUAUCGUAAACCUCUUUUGUCAGGGAACAAAGGCGGGGACUAGUCCCCGGAUGAGGGUACCUGAAGAAAAAGCAUCGGCUAACUCCGUGCCAGCAGCCGCGGUAAUACGGAGGAUGCGAGCGUUAUCCGGAUUUAUUGGGUUUAAAGGGUGCGCAGGUGGCCUGUUAAGUCAGCGGUAAAAGCCCGGGGCUCAACCCCGGCGAGCCGUUGAAACUGGCGGGCUGGAGUUGGAGAGAAGUACGCGGAAUGCGCGGUGUAGCGGUGAAAUGCUUAGAUAUCGCGCAGAACCCCGAUUGCGAAGGCAGCGUACCGGCUCCACACGGACGCUGAGGCACGAAAGCGUGGGUAUCGAACAGGAUUAGAUACCCUUGUAGUC
rnacentral:rRNA from 1 species